CAAGUCGAACGCGAAAGUUCCCUUCGGGGAGCGAGUAGAGUGGCGCACGGGUGAGUAACACGUAGGUAAUCUACCUUUGGAUGGGGAAUAACAACCGGAAACGGUUGCUAAUACCGCAUAAUGCAGCGGCACCUAAUGGUGACAGUUGUUAAAGCGGGGGAUCGAAAGACCUCGCGUCUAAAGAGGAGCCUGCGGCGGAUUAGCUAGUUGGUAAGGUAAUGGCUUACCAAGGCGAUGAUCCGUAACCGGCCUGAGAGGGCGGUCGGUCACACUGACACUGACAUACGGGUCAGACUCCUACGGGAGGCAGCAGUCGGGAAUUUUGGGCAAUGGGCGAAAGCCUGACCCAGCAACGCCGCGUGAAGGAUGAAAUCCCUCGGGAUGUAAACUUCGCAAGAACGGGAAGAAUAAGUUGGUGUGAAUAUCACCAGCGAUGACGGUACCGUUUGUAAGCUCCGGCUAACUCCGUGCCAGCAGCCGCGGUAAUACGGGGGGAGCAAGCGUUGUUCGGAUUUACUGGGCGUAAAGGGCGCGUAGGCGGCCACUGCAAGUCGGUUGUGAAAUCUCCGGGCUUAACCCGGAAAGGUCAAUCGAUACUGCAGGGCUAGAGUGCAGAAGGGGCAACUGGAAUUCUCGGUGUAGCGGUGAAAUGCGUAGAUAUCGAGAGGAACACCUGCGGCGAAGGCGGGUUGCUGGGCUGACACUGACGCUGAAGCGCGAAAGCUAGGGGAGCGAACGGGAUUAGAUACCCCGGUAGUCCUAGCCUUAAACGAUGAAUGCUUGGUGUCU
rnacentral:rRNA from 1 species